CCUACGGGGUGCAGCAGUGAGGAAUAUUGGUCAAUGGACGAGAGUCUGAACCAGCCAAGUAGCGUGAAGGAUGACUGCCCUAUGGGUUGUAAACUUCUUUUAUAUGGGAAUAAAACGUUCCACGUGUGGGAUUUUGUAUGUACCAUACGAAUAAGGAUCGGCUAACUCCGUGCCAGCAGCCGCGGUAAUACGGAGGAUCCGAGCGUUAUCCGGAUUUAUUGGGUUUAAAGGGAGCGUAGGUGGAUUGUUAAGUCAGUUGUGAAAGUUUGCGGCUCAACCGUAAAAUUGCAGUUGAAACUGGCAGUCUUGAGUACAGUAGAGGUGGGCGGAAUUCGUGGUGUAGCGGUGAAAUGCUUAGAUAUCACGAAGAACUCCGAUUGCGAAGGCAGUUCACUGGACUGCAACUGACACUGAGGCUCGAAAGUGUGGGUAUCAAACAGGAUUAGAUACCCCAGUAGUC
rnacentral:rRNA from 1 species